rnacentral:rRNA from 1 species
GGUCAAGUGACUAAGCGUACACGAUGGAUGCCUUGGCAGUCAGAGGCGAUGAAGGACGUGGUAAUCUGCGAUAAGUCCUGGGGAGCUGAUAAACAAGCUGUGAUCCAGGAAUUUCCGAAUGGGGAAACCCAACGGCAUAAGCCGUUAUUCCUUAGCUGAAUACAUAGGCUUUGGAAGGCGAACCCGGGGAACUGAAACAUCUAAGUACCCGGAGGAAAAGAAAUCAAUUGAGAUUCCCCCAGUAGCGGCGAGCGAACGGGGACCAGCCCUUAAGCAAUUGAUGAGUUAGUGGAACACUCUGGAAAGUGUGGCCAUAGUGGGUGAUAGCCCCGUACACGAAAGCUCAUUUAUUGUGAAAUCGAGUAGGACGGGACACGUGAAAUCCUGUCUGAACAUGGGGGGACCAUCCUCCAAGGCUAAAUACUCCUGACUGACCGAUAGUGAACCAGUACCGUGAGGGAAAGGCGAAAAGAACCCCGUUGAGGGGAGUGAAAUAGAACCUGAAUCCGUGUACGUACAAGCA